rnacentral:rRNA from 1 species
AACGAACGCUGGCGGCGUGCUUAACACAUGCAAGUCGAACGCGAAAGUGGUCUUCGGACUGCGAGUAGAGUGGCGCACGGGUGAGUAACGCGUGGAUAAUCUGCCCUGCAGUUGGGAAUAACUCAUCGAAAGGUGGGCUAAUACCGAAUAAUGCUGCGCAACAUAAGUUUCGCAGCCAAAGAUAGCCUCUGCUUGCAAGCUAUCGCUGAAGGAUGAGUCCGCGUACCAUUAGCUUGUUGGUAGGGUAAUGGCCUACCAAGGCGACGAUGGUUAGCUGGUCUGAGAGGAUGAUCAGCCACACUGGAACUGAGACACGGUCCAGACACCUACGGGAGCUG